rnacentral:rRNA from 1 species
UUGAAAGGGAAACGAUUGAAGUCAGUCAUGCCAGUGGGAAUCAACUUAGAGGAAACUCUUGCACUUCUUCGCUUGGCAGGUUAGUGUCGAUUUUGGACGUCAUAAAAUGACUGGGGGAAGGUAGCUCCUUUGGGAGUGUUAUAGCCCUUGGUAGAUGUGAUGUCUGGAAUCGAGGAUUGCAACGGAUACCCUUUAGGGCUAGUCACCUGAUCUCUAAUUAGUGCUAGAUUACGGACAGCAUGCUGACCGUGAUUUAAUUAUUGGUUAAAAGGUUAGAGUGCACAUAAAUUCGUUAAGGAUGUUGACGUA